rnacentral:tRNA from 1 species
GCCAUUGUGGUGGAAGUGGUAGACACACUAGAUUUAAAAUUUAGGGCUAUAUGAGUUCAAUCCUCAUCAAUGGUA